CCUGAGCUCCUCCAUCCCCCCCUUCCAGCAGCCCAGCAGGAGGUGAGGAAAGGGGACGGAAGAACGCACACCGGGUCGGUGGCCCGGUCGGAUCCACCCGCCCACGGAACGGAUCGAAGCUACCGGCCUCACCUUCGCCGCGCCGAGCUGGAAUCGGACACCGAGAUCGGUGCCGAUUCCGUGCCCCUUACCCGAUAAGCGGCGGGAGGGUGGUGGCCCUGUCGAUCUCGCCGCGGGAGGUGCAUAACUACCUUCCGAUUUGGGGGAUUCGGGUGCGUGCUUGGGCUUGGUGUGGUGGCGUGGGCUCGCCGGCGGCGGGUGGCGGAGCUAGGGUUUGGGUUUGGGCGGGCUCGAUGACGCGCCGGGUGCGGCGGAGGACGUGCAGGGAGAGGGAGGGAAGGGUGGUGCGGAGCUUGUCGCGCGUGGGCUCGGCGGGGGUGGAGGAUGAGGAGGAUGCGCCCGCCGCGGUGCUGGACUGGAAGGCGCUGCCGGACGACACGAUGCUGCAGCUGUUCUCGCGGCUGAACUACCGCGACCGCGCCAGCAUGGCGGCGGCGUGCCGGGCGUGGCGGGCGCUGGGCUCGUCGCCCUGCCUGUGGAGCGAGCUCGACCUCCGCGCGCACCGCUGCGACCGGGAGGUGGCAUCGUCGCUCGCCGAGCGGUGCGGGAGCCUGCGCCGUCUUCGCCUGCGCGGGCACGAGGCGGUCGAGGCCGUCCCUGGCCUCCGAGCGCGCGGGCUCCGCGAGGUGGUGGCCGAUGGCUGCCGCGGGCUCACCGACGCCACGCUCGCCGUCCUCGCCGCGCGGCACGAGGACCUCGAGCGUCUCCAGAUCGGGCCAGACCCUCUCGAGCGCAUCUCCAGCGACGCCCUCCGCCAGGUCGCGCUCUGUUGCUCGCGUCUCCGCCGCCUGCGCCUCUCGGGUCUCCGUGAAGGCGACGCUGGUGCCGUCGGAGCACUCGCCCGCAACUGCCCUCUCCUUGAGGACGUGGCUUUCCUUGACUGCGGCACUAUCGAUGAGGCUGCCCUCGCUGGCAUGCACUCUCUCCGGUUCCUCUCCAUUGCAGGAUGCCGAAGCCUGAAAUGGGCUACUGCAUCCACCUCCUGGAUCCAGCUUCCCUCCCUUAUUGCAAUUGAUCUCUCCCGCACUGAUGUCCCCACAAAUGCUAUCUCUCGCCUCAUCUCCAACUCCAAAACCCUCAAGCUUAUAUGCGCGCUCAACUGCAUUUCUGUCGAGGAGGAACUGGUUCAAGAUCCUUCUGUAUUUAGAAACACCAAGGGCAAGCUCGUGCUAACUGUUAAAAGCCACAUCUUUAAAUCCAUCGCCGCCAUGUUUCCUGGUGUGGAUGUGAAAGAGCAAGAGGUGUUCAAUCAGUGUAACUGGAGGCACAAUGACAUAGCUGGUGAUACAAUGACCUGGCUUGAGUGGAUCCUGUCGCAGUCACUUCUGCGAAUUGCAGAGUCCAACCCACAAGGCAUGGAUGAGUUCUGGCUGCAGCAGGGCACCGCACUGCUGCUUAGACUAUUGAAGAGUUCGCAGGAGGAUGUGCAGGAGCGCGCAGCUACUGCCCUUGCUACAUUUGUAGUUAUGGAUGAUGAGAGCGCGAAUGUGGAUCCUGCAAGGUCGGAGGCGGUGAUGCUGAAUGGAGGCAUCCGAAUAUUACUGGACCUUGCAAGGUGCUCAAGGGAGAGUGCACAGUCAGAAGCAGCGAAGGCUAUUGCCAACUUGUCAGUUAAUACCAAGGUUGCCAAGGCAGUUGCAGAUGAAGGCGGUAUAACAAUACUCACUAGUUUGGCUAAGUCGAUGAAUAGGCUUGUUGCCGAAGAAGCUGCUGGUGGCCUUUGGAAUCUCUCUGUGGGUGAAGACCACAAGGCGGCUAUCGCUGUAUCUGGCGGUAUCAAGGCCCUGGUCGAUCUAAUAUAUCGUUGGCCUGCUGGAACUGAUGGAGUUCUUGAACGUGCUGCUGGUGCUCUUGCAAACCUGGCUGCUGAUGACAAGUGUAGCUUGGAAGUUGCAAAGGCUGGUGGUGUCCGUGCUUUGGUUACACUUGCUCGAUCAUGUAAACUCGAAGGUGUCCUAGAACAGGCUGCAAGGGCUUUAGCUAACUUAGCUGCACACGGAGACAACAAUGACAACAACGCUGCUGUAGGUCAGGAAGCAGGUGCUCUGGAGGCACUAGUGCAACUAACAGGUUCUCAAAAUGAGGGUGUAAGACAAGAAGCUGCUGGUGCUUUGUGGAACCUGUCAUUUGAUGACAGAAACCGUGAGGCCAUUGCUGCAGUGGGUGGUGUUGAAGCUCUGGUUUCCCUAGUGCAACAGUGUUUGAAUGGUUCAGAAGGCCUUCAAGAGAGAGCUGCUGGCGCAUUAUGGGGCUUAUCUGUUUCAGAAGCAAACAGUAUUGCAAUAGGACAGGGUGGUGGAGUUGCACCUUUGCUCACAUUGGCACGCUCUGAGGUUGAAGCCUUCUGUUGGCACCAGAAAAUAUUAUCACGAGACUUAACUCUAUGCUUCAUGCAUUAAUCAGAAUAAUGCUCAGAUGGAUACAUCAUUGCAUAUGUUGAUGAGAUAAGUUUGUGUUCACAAUUCAUUAAUAUUUUAGGUUCUAACUCAUGUGCAUGAUAUAUGUUUUGUAUUUUUUUUAAGUGACUUUAAAUUUGCUGCAUUAUAGGCCCGUCAUAAUAGUUUUAUUUGUAUCCCUCCAUAUCUUGAAUGCUUGGAAAAAUUGCUAAGGUUGGCUUGCAAAACACGUGCAAGUUCAAAUUUUAGUUUAACUGCCUUAUUUCAAGCAAAGCAGAUCACUUAUUUCAAGCUGACUUUAAAUUUGCUGCCUUUAGAAGCCUGUUGUGAUGUUGUUUUAUUUGUAUGAACACAUCAUUCCCUCCAUAUGGAUGACUUGCAAAACAUGUGCAAGUUCAUUUUUUUUAAAUUUUAACUGGCUUAUUUCCAGUAAAGCAGACGACUUAAUCAGUGCCCUCAAUUUCUUGUUAAGGUUUGCUCCUACUUUGGGGUGUUAAAGUGAUUUUAUAGUUCUCAUAAUUUGUCAAUUCUCAAUUCUGUCUUCUGGACUAAAAGAUGUUCCAACUUAGAAAAUUACAUUCUGUUCCACAGGAUGUUCAUGAGACAGCUGCAGGGGCACUGUGGAACCUUGCCUUUUAUUCUGGUAAUGCCCUCCGCAUAGUUGAAGAAGGUGGGGUACCUAUUCUUGUAAGCAUUUGCUCGACAUCAGGGUCAAAAAUGGCCCGCUUCAUGUCUGCACUAGCCCUCGCCUAUAUGUUUGAUGGAAGAAUGGAUGAAGUUGCUUUGGUUGGGACAUCCUCAGAUAGCAGUUCCAAAAGUGUUAAUGUUGAGGGAGCUAGAAGAAUAGCAUUUAAGCAUAUAGAGACUUUUGUGCUCACUUUCUCAGAUCCACAAAUGUUCUCUGUGGCUGCUACCUCCUCGGCACCAGCAGCGCUGUCUCAGGUUGCUGAAGUAGUGUUCAUACAUGAAGCUGGACACCUGAGAUGCAGUGGUGCCGAGAUUGGUAGAUUUGUUGCCAUGCUUCGGAAUCCCUCACCAAUUCUUCGUGCUUGUGCUGCCUUUGCCCUUCUUCAGUUCACAAUCCCAGGAGGUCGGCAUGCUGUGCACCAUGCGGGUCUCUUACAGAAAGCAGGAGCAGGUAGAGUGUUGCGUGCAGCAGCGGCAGCAACAACAGCUUCUAUUGAAGCUAAAAUCUUUGCAAGGAUUGUCCUCAGGAACUUGGAGCACCAUCAGUCAGGAACGUCAACAUGAAUGCACAGGGGAGGCGUCCUCCCAUCCUCCAACAAUGGCGCCUUUGUUGAAGGGCUGAAAUGCUGCGUGACCAGUGCAGAAUCACAUCUUAGCUUGUGCAGACAGUGACUAGAGGAACCCAUGCCAAAGGAAGCCUCACAGCCACCAAAGGAAGAGCCCCACAACCGUGAACUGACCUAAUGAAAUCAAUUCGGUGGCAGCCUUUAUUCCCUUGCUGAUGUUUAAGGUUGAGUGUGCAAUUUUCUCGUGAUCAUUUCGUGUGUACAAGUAGCAACUUAAAAGAACUUUAGUGUCGAUGAGAAUUAUGAACCGGCAUAUAGAUUUAAGUUAUGGAUAUUUAUCAUUUGUUGAUUAGUGUUGAGGUGCGUGGCGACUUGGGCAAUCCGUCCUGUUGCAACAUACAUGUAACUUUGUAAAUGUACUGAUUGUUGUUAUAUAUUUUCUUCCCCAUGAUU